rnacentral:rRNA from 1 species
AAACCGGAGGAAGGUGGGGAUGACGUCAAGUCCUCAUGGCCCUUAUGGGUAGGGCUUCACACGUCAUACAAUGGUCGGGACAGAGGGUCGCCAACCCGCGAGGGGGAGCCAAUCCCAGAAACCCGAUCGUAGUCCGGAUCGCAGUCUGCAACUCGACUGCGUGAAGUCGGAAUCGCUAGUAAUCGCGGAUCAGCAUGUCGCGGUGAAUACGUUCCCGGGUCUUGUACACACCGCCCGUCACACCAUGGGAGUGGGUUUUACCAGAAGUAGUUAGCCUAACCGCAAGGGGGGCGAUUACCACGGUAGGAUUCAUGACUGGGGUGAAGUCGUAACAAGGUAGCCGUAA